CCUACGGGUGGCUGCAGUGGGGAAUUUUGGACAAUGGGGGAAACCCUGAUCCAGCCAUGCCGCGUGCGGGAAGAAGGCCUUCGGAUUGUAAACCGCUUUCAGCCGGAAAGAAAUCGCACGGACUAAUACUCUGUGUGGAUGACGGUACCGGAAGAAGAAGCACCGGCUAACUACGUGCCAGCAGCCGCGGUAAUACGUAGGGUGCGAGCGGGCAUCGGAAUUACUGGGCGGGAAGCUUGCGCCAGCGGUGAAAUCCCCGGGCUUAACCUGGGAACUGCGUUUGGAACUGGGAGACUAGAGUGUGUCAGAGGGAGGCGGAAUUCCGCGUGUAGCAGUGAAAUGCGUAGAUAUGCGGAGGAACACCGAUGGCGAAGGCAGCCUCCUGGGAUAACACUGACGCUCAUGCACGAAAGCGUGGGGAGCAAACAGGAUUAGAUACCCUUGUAGUC
rnacentral:rRNA from 1 species